UGCUGCCACACUCAAGCCAUCAGGAGGCUCCGUCAAAUUCCAGACCAAAUCAAAGGCUCGCCUUUCCCUGACGUUUCAAAAAUCCACCUCGCAACAACAUAGGGGCCAUUCCAAGCUGUGACUUCCAGCAGAAUGCGAUUCCAUUCAUCCGUCCGUCUUGAGCAGGAAAACAUGAUGAAGGGGCAUGGAUGGAUGCAGGCACGAGUGGGAAACCUUGGAGAAUGAAAAGAUGGGAGGCAAAUGACGGCUCAAGUGAAACGCUUCUGUCAUCAAAGCCACAGUAAAGUACGCGCCUUUCAUAGAUCAACUCGAUGGAGUUAAAGAAUUGUCUUUGUAUGCAUGCGAAAAAAAAAAAAUAUGAAGCAGCCCUGAAAAAGCCAUUCAAGCUUGUUUCUAUUUUUCAUGUUCCAAACACUGUGGCGCGACACACUUUGCUGCGAUCGUUCUCGCAAGGGAAAAUGUAAACCGGGUCGUGGAGCGCAGAAAGGGCAACGCAGUUGGACGAUAAAUAGAUACAAUUAAAAAAAACCUCACACCAUCAAAUAAUACAAUAUCAGAGAGUGAGAGGACAAAUGUCUACUUGCUCUCCCUCGAAUUAAAACAAAAGUUCAUGAGGUUAUAAUUAAAGCAGAAUGGGUUUUACAACUGCAAAGAAAUGACAGGGUUUUUUUUUUCUAAUUUAGCAUUUUUCUUUGCAAAUUAGAACCUGAGCUGCUUUUUUUCCCCGUAUUCACCGAUCCCGAAAACUUGUUUUGUUUGUUUUGAGCGGCGUUUGUCAAAUGAAAUCACAAUAGGAGGUUGCCCGAAAGGCACGGAUGCCGACUCACCCCAGCCGAGAAGGUAGUACCAGUGCAAAUGCUGCUCCUCUGCAAAAACAGCCACCA